AUAGGGGUAGGGUGUACAUGUGUGCGUUCAUAGGGGUGAGUGUACGCGCGUGUUGUGAGCGUCUGCGUUUGUACCGUGUUCCUAAAAAAAAAAACUUCCGAUACCAGCUCUGAAGAAGCGGAGAGGCAAUACCAUGAGCUUAGAUUGAUUGCUAGUCACCAAGGCUGCAAGUCUUUGAUGAAUGUGGUGUGUUCGUACUAUUUGUAUCUACAAGAAUAAUCGGAGUUGGAGGCACC
rnacentral:lncRNA from 1 species